rnacentral:rRNA from 1 species
UACGUAGGGGGGCUAGCGUUGUCCGGAAUCAUUGGGCGUAAAGAGCGUGUAGGCGGUCCGGUAAGUCCGCUGUGAAAGUCGGGGGGCUCAACCCUCGAAUGCCGGUGGAUACUGUCGGGCUAGAGUGCGGAAGAGGUGAGUGGAAUUCCUGGUGUAGCGGUGAAAUGCGCAGAUAUCAGGAGGAACACCAAUGGCGAAGGCAGCUCACUGGGACGGUAUUGACGCUGAGACGCGAAAAGCGUGGGGGAGCAAACAGG